AGUAACGCGUGGGUAACCUGCCUCAUACAGGGGGAUAGCAGCUGGAAACGGCUGGUAAUACCGCAUAAGCGCACGGUAUCGCAUGAUACAGUGUGAAAAACUCCGGUGGUAUGAGAUGGACCCGCGUCUGAUUAGCUAGUUGGUGAGGUAACGGCCCACCAAGGCGACGAUCAGUAGCCGACCUGAGAGGGUGACCGGCCACAUUGGGACUGAGACACGGCCCAG
rnacentral:rRNA from 1 species